CGCCGAUUAUGCCUAAAACGCUGGUAUCUUGAAGUACUGGGGUUUAUGCACCUAUCCAAUACCAUGUAAUAAAGCCCCAAAGAAAAUCUAUGCUAAAGUAGUUUAUUUAUGUUCUUUUUCUGUUAUAACUGACUGCCA